rnacentral:lncRNA from 1 species
AUUUGUUCUGUUUUGUUGUUUUGAGAGAGUCUUGGCUGUCUGGAACUUGCUCUGUAGACCAGGCUGGCCUUGAACUCAGAGCUCUGCCUGUCUCUGCCUCCUGAUCACAGGGAUUGAAGCUGUGAACCACUACUACCUGUAAAAGGGACUUAAAAGGAGAAUAUUUCCCCUUACCCUCCAAGGUUAGCGGGUGCCAGGGGCCUACUCAAAUGUUCUGUGACUCUGGGAAGUCAUUGCCCUUUUGUUCAGGGAGCCCAUGGUGAGCCUACUGAGUGAACUCAUACCAGUCUACAAAAAAGAGGACAUUUUUCCUCCAUGCUUCCAAGCGAAGGCUGUGGGUGGUUAAGCAAGGCCUCUGACUUGUCCUCACAGCCAGAGGCUCCUCUUAAACCCAAGUGACCCCUGAGGACCAGAUCCGCAACUGGCCUUGACGAUAAAAAUCAAAUGAUUAAUUUUGGUCAUCUAUAUGAUCUUAAAACACCCAAUAAGAAAAUACACUCCCAAACUAAGAUGCUCAGUAUGUGGGAUUUGUUGUUGUUUUGUUUUCUUGACAGUCCAAGGAUCCAUUCCCCAGAUUUUGGACUUAAAUCCAUGAGACAUUAGAUAACUACUUCUCACUAAGAAUUUUCUUCUUGGUAAGAAAAUGCAACCCAGAUGUAAGACUUCAGAUUUUGCCUCAGUUCAAAACUGCAGUGCCUAUCAGUAGCGGAGAGACAGGCCCAUAACUGCUUUAACCUAGAAAUCAAACAAUGGCUGAGUUUCUUUUCUCUCCUUAAGAAGCCAAACGGGAGGGGUGUCAUGCUGACUUGCCACUCCGAAGGCUAUCUAUCAGAUGGUCUCAAUCGGUCAGACCAUCACUGGAGACCAGUCUUAAAAGUCAAAGGAAAAUGAAGAGGAGCCAAAUAGAGGGAGGUUCUUGUGAGCCUGGUAAGAGAUUCCAGUGAACUUUGAUCUGGAUGUUUAAAACACUCCGUUUUGGCUUCCCUUGUUUCUGCAAAUAACUUGCUAUAACUUCUGCCUCAUACCCCUCUUCGGGUACCAAGCAAGGACUUCUUUUCUUCCCUCUCUACAACUGGCUGUUAUACAGAUAAUCCUAAGGUUAUCUCUCAGAGGAGGAGCGGGAUGGUAAAAGCAGGUGAGGUUUGGCUAGGCAGUUUAAGGGGAAAAACAAACAGACAGACAGACAGACAAUUUAUCUCUUGGCUAACAGCCAGAAAGCUUCUUGGAACUCUUGGCAGCCUCCUCUUUGACAGAAACCAAAGAGCCAAAAAUCUGAUUUGGUUCCUAAAUGAUUCUAUGAUUUUUUUUUUGUGAUGGGGUGGGGGAGGUGUGCUGCAGAGGGGGAGGGGGUGUAAAAAUUGUCAAUGAAGGCCUGUUAAAAAAACUGGCCAGCACUUGAGAGGCAGAAGCGGGCACAUCUUUGAAUUCGAGGUCAGCCUGGUCUACAUAGUAAAUUCUAGAACAGUCACAACUACAUAGAGAGACCCUGCCUCAAAAAAAAAAGUAAAUAAGUAUAUAAACAAAAAUAAUAAAGAAAAAGGAAGAAGAAAGCAGGAACACUUCUGGUCAGGAGAGUAGUUGGGCCGAAUCAGUCUUCUGGCCAAGGGAGCAGCCCUACCCAUGUGUGCGCACCUUAAACCAUGCUAGACCAUCCCGUGCAUCGGGGGCUCAUUCCCAGGGUUAUUGAUUCAGCUUUUACUAAACACGAACGCCCUCCUAGUCUCUGACUUCAAGAUGUGACAGCAAAAGAAAGUCACCACCUUCUUAAAGAGUUGGAACAAAGAGGGAUUUGUCAGAAACAUUAAAUAUUUUUUUUUCUAUUAGCCACCGUAAAACUUGGGUUGUGGGCUGGAGAGAUGGCUCAGUGGUUAAGAGCACUGACUGCUCUUCCAGAGGUCCUGAGUUCAAUUCCCAGCAACCACAUGGCGGCUCACAACCAUCUGUAAUGGGAUCUAGUGCCCUCUUCUGGUGUGUCUGAAGACAGCUACAGUGUACUCACAUACAUUAAAUAAAUAAAUAAAUACCUUGGGUUGUGAGAAUGAAUUCAAAUCAUUUUAUCUCCCCCACCUUGUAAGACUAUUAUGCAAAUGUUUAUCCCUUCCUCCUCCCGACUCGAGACCUAGUAAACCUUUGUAGUUGAAUACAAAGCCCCUGCUACAGUCUCAGAACUUUGGUGACUGAAGCAGCAGACCCCUUCCCAAUUUCCACAUUUCCUUUACCCCAGUCUUUUACAAAUAGUCAAUUCAAAAGUCUGUGAGGUCAGCCCCCAGCCAAUGGGGAAUGACAGUCACUACAUUAGAAUAGAAACCAAGUGCCCAGACCCCCUCCACCUGCUGCCUGCUCUGUGGCUUGCACCCUCCUGAUCAACAUCCAAGGUGGGCUUCCCCCUCUCUGAGAGUAGGGGCUGUAAUGAGGGGAAGGUUUUGUGGGGUGAGACUGGAAGGAGGAGGGAUGUAAUGUAGUUAAAAGAUUAAAGUUUUGCCUUACAGAGCCCUUUGUAUGACACUGAAUAUAUAUAUAUAUAUUUUGGUUUUUCUUGACAGGGUUUCUCUGUAUAGUCCUGGCUGUCCUGGAACUCACUCUGUAGACCAGGCUGGCCUCCAACUCAGAAAUCCGCCUGCCUCUGCCUCCCGAGUGCUGGGAUUAAAGGCGUGCGCCACCACACCUGGCUUCUGAAUAUAUUUUUAACAAAGGUAAAGUUUUCUGUUUUGUUUCUUGAAGGAAAAAGAAAGCACAUUUUUCUGGGUGGGUGGCGGCAGCUCAGGGAGGGCACCCGCCUGCCAGGACACCUGGAUAUAUAUACCUUUUCUACCAGCUUCAAGACACUAAACACUGAGCCAGGAGAACUAAAAUUCCUCUCAAGAGUUGAGAGAGCUAGCUGACUAUUGACUUGGAUAGCAGAAGACACCCUUGGUUGAACAGGUCUGCAUUGGUCAGGAGUUCAUGAACACAUGAUUAAAAAAAUAAAAUAAAAUCAGUGUUGGCUCUUUGUUUCUGCAAUUCUAGACACCUGGUAUGAGGCCCAAACUCAGAGGCUGCCCAUAGUUAGAUCUGGUCUAUUAGCAGGCAAGUUGCAGCAACUGCCUUAAAACAUGGCAGUACCCGAAUUGCACAGACAUAGGGUUCCAGUGUGGGCAUUAGUGCACCUGCUGCAAGCUCUUGCCUUUCAUGCACAGAACUUAAUGCAGAGAUGCUCACCAGUGGCUUCUUUAGGUUUUUUAGUGGCUUAAUUACAGGGUCCAUGUCACUCAAGUAAGUCAGCAUCCGGUCCUUACAGCUUGUGAUAUUGAAGAAUAAAAAUUUUUACUGAACUCUUCACCCCAGAAUGCAUUCCUGAACUCCUCACCCUAGAGUUCGAACCCUCCCAACUAAAAACUGUUCCAAGAACAUUUUUGAGAUAAGGGCCUCCUGGAACAACCUCAAAAUGAACCGGGUACAUUGCCAAAUAAUAGGACAUGACCCCUUAGUUACGUAGAUUCCUUGGCAGAACCCCUUGUCCCUUGGCAGAACCCCCUAGUGAUGUAAACUUGUACUUUCCCUGCCCAGCUCUCCCCCCUUGAGUUUUACUAUAUAAGCCUGUGAAAAAUUUGGCUGGUCGUCGAUUCUCCUCUACACCACUAGGUGCAUGAGUUUCGACCCCAGAGCUCUGGUCUAUGUUCCAUGUGCUUUCUUGCUGUUGUUCUAUUAAAUCUUGCCUUCUACAUUU